rnacentral:rRNA from 1 species
AGUAACGCGUGGGUAACCUGCCUCAUACAGGGGGAUAACAGUUAGAAAUGACUGCUAAUACCGCAUAAGCGCACAGUGCUGCAUGGCACAGUGUGAAAAACUCCGGUGGUAUGAGAUGGACCCGCGUCUGAUUAGCUAGUUGGUGGGGUAACGGCCUACCAAGCGACGAUCAGUAGCCGACCUGAGAGGGUGACCGGCCACAUUGGGACUGAGACACGGCCCAA